rnacentral:rRNA from 1 species
UGCGGAGGGAUCAUUACUGAGUUUACGCUCUACAACCCUUUGUGAACAUACCUAUAACUGUUGCUUCGGCGGGUAGGGUCUCCGUGACCCUCCCGGCCUCCCGCCCCCGGGCGGGUCGGCGCCCGCCGGAGGAUAACCAAACUCUGAUUUAACGACGUUUCUUCUGAGUGGUACAAGCAAAUAAUCAAAACUUUUAACAACGGAUCUCUUGGUUCUGGCAUCGAUGAAGAACGCAGCGAAAUGCGAUAAGUAAUGUGAAUUGCAGAAUUCAGUGAAUCAUCGAAUCUUUGAACGCACAUUGCGCCCGCCAGCAUUCUGGCGGGCAUGCCUGUUCGAGCGUCAUUUCAACCCUCAAGCUCUGCUUGGUGUUGGGGCCCUACGGCUGACGUAGGCCCUCAAAGGUAGUGGCGGACCCUCCCGGAGCCUCCUUUGCGUAGUAACUUUACGUCUCGCACUGGGAUCCGGAGGGACUCUUGCCGUAAAACCCCCAAUUUUCCAAAGGUUGACCUCGGAUCAGGUAGGAAUACCCGCUGAACUUAAGCAUAUCAA